rnacentral:rRNA from 1 species
UACGUAGGGUGCGAGCGUUGUUCGGAAUCACUGGGGCGUAAAGGGCGUGUAGGCGGCCCGCUAAGUCUGAUGUGAAAGCCCGGGGCUCACCCCCGGAAGGGCAUUGGAAACUGGCGGACUCGAGUCCCGGAGAGGAGGGUGGAAUUCCCGGUGUAGCGGUGAAAUGCGUAGAUAUCAGGAAGAACACCUAUGGCGAAGGCAGCUCUCUGGGACGGUACUGACGCUGAGACGCGAAAGCGUGGGGAGCGAACAGG